rnacentral:rRNA from 1 species
GAUGAACGCUGGCGGCGUGCCUAAUACAUGCAAGUCGAGCGAACAGACGAGGAGCUUGCUCCUCUGACGUUAGCGGCGGACGGGUGAGUAACACGUGGAUAACCUACCUAUAAGACUGGGAUAACUUCGGGAAACCGGAGCUAAUACCGGAUAAUAUAUUGAACCGCAUGGUUCAAUAGUGAAAGCCGGUUUUGCUGUCACUUAUAGAUGGAUCCGCGCCGCAUUAGCUAGUUGGUAAGGUAACGGCUUACCAAGGCAACGAUGCGUAGCCGACCUGAGAGGGUGAUCGGCCACACUGGAACUGAGACACGGGCCAGACUCCUACGGGAGGCAGCAGUAGGGAAUCUUCCGCAAUGGGCGAAAGCCUGACGGAGCAACGCCGCGUGAGUGAUGAAGGUCUUCGGAUUGUAAAACUCUGUUAUUAGGGAAGAACAAAUGUGUAAGUAACUAUGCACGUCUUGACGGUACCUAAUCAGAAAGCCACGGCUAACUACGUG